UAAAGGGUCCGUAGGCGGUUUAGUAAGUCAGUGGUGAAAGCCCAUCGCUCAACGGUGGAACGGCCAUUGAUACUGCUAAACUUGAAUUAUUAGGAAGUAACUAGAAUAUGUAGUGUAGCGGUGAAAUGCUUAGAGAUUACAUGGAAUACCAAUUGCGAAGGCAGGUUACUACUAAUGGAUUGACGCUGAUGGACGAAAGCGUGGGUAGCGAACAGGAUUAGAUACCCUGGUAGUCCACGCCGUAAACGAUGGAUACUAGCUGUUGGAAGCAAUUUCAGUGGCUAAGCGAAAGUGAUAAGUAUCCCACCUGGGGAGUACGUUCGCAAGAAUGAAACUCAAAGGAAUUGACGGGGGCCCGCACAAGCGGUGGAGCAUGUGGUUUAAUUCGAUGAUACGCGAGGAACCUUACCAAGGCUUAAAUGUAGAUUGACCGGUUUGGAAACAGACCUUUCGCAAGACAAUUUACAAGGUGCUGCAUGGUUGUCGUCAGCUCGUGCCGUGAGGUGUCAGGUUAAGUCCUAUAACGAGCGCAACCCCUGUUGUUAGUUGCCAGCGAGUCAUGUCGGGAACUCUAACGAGACUCCCAGUGCAAACUGAGAGGAAGGUGGGGAUGACGUCAAAUCAUCACGGCCCUUACGCCUUGGGCUACACACGUGCUACAAUGGCCGGUACAGAGAGCAGCCACUGGGUGACCAGGAGCGAAUCUAUAAAACCGGUCACAGUUCGGACUCCGAGUCUGCAACUAGACUCCGUGAAGCUGGAAUCGCUAGUAAUCGGAUAUCAGCCAUGAUC
rnacentral:rRNA from 1 species